rnacentral:rRNA from 1 species
UGGUUUCCAUAUCCAGGAACGGAAGUUUAGGAUCAAAGACAAUCAGAAUACGUUCGUAGGUCUAUUCUAUUAAUUAUGCGACUAGGAAUUGAAUGGCAACAUCACAUUCAGUACCUUAUGAGAAAAUCAAAGUCUUUUGGUUCUGGGGGGGAGGUAUGGUCGCAAGACUGAAACUUAAAGAAAUUGACGGAAGGGCGCCGGCGAGGAGUGGAGCUGCGGCUUAAUUUGACUCAACACGGGAAACAUAAACAAAGAUCCAAGACAUAGUAAGGAUUGACAGAUUGAUAGCUCUUUCUUGUUCUAUGGGUGGUUGUGUGGGUGGCCGUUAUUAGUUGGUGGAGUGAUUUGUCUGGUUAAUUCCGAUAACGAACGAGACCUUAACCUGCUAACUAGAUUCUUUUAUCCUAUAAAAGUUAUCUUCUUAGAGGGACUAUGUAAAACAAAUACAUGGAAAGUAUGAGGACAAUAACAGGUCAGUGAUGCCCUUAUAUGUCCUGGGCUGCACGCGUGCUACACUGAUGCAUACAACAAGUGCCUAACCAGACAUGGCAUGGCAAUCUCGAAUAUGCAUCGUGAUAGGGAUAGAUCUUUGCAAUUAUAGAUCUUGAACGAGGAAUUCCUAGUAAGUGCAAGUCAUCAUCUUGCAUUGAUUAUGUCCCUGCCCUUUAACACGCCACCCGUCGCUCCUACCGAUACCGGGUGAUCCGGUGAACCUGUGGACCCUGG